rnacentral:rRNA from 1 species
AUUGAACGCUGGCGGCACGCUUUACACAUGCAAGUCGAACGGUAACAGGGUGCUUGCACCGCUGACGAGUGGCGAACGGGUGAGUAAUGCGUCGGAACGUGCCGAGUAGUGGGGGAUAACGCAGCGGAAGUUGUGCUAAUACCGCAUACGUACUGAGGUAGAAAGUGGGGGACCUUCUGGCCUCACGCUAUUCGAGCGGCCGACGUCUGAUUAGCUAGUAGGUGAGGUAAAGGCUCACCUAGGCGACGAUCAGUAGCGGGUCUGAGAGGAUGAUCCGCCACAAUGGGACUGAGACACGACCCAGACUCCUACGGGAGGCAGCAGUGGGGAAUUUUGGACAAUGGGCGCAAGCCUGAUCCAGCAAUGCCGCGUGCAGGAUGAAGGCCUUCGGGUUGUGAACUGCUUUUGUACGGAACGAAAAGCCCUGGGUUAAUACCCUGGGGUCAUGACGGUACCGUAAGAAUAAGCACCGGCUAACUACGUGCCAGCAGCCGCAGUAACAC